UACGAAGGGGGCUAGCGUUGUUCGGAAUUACUGGGCGUAAAGCGCACGUAGGCGGACAUUUAAGUCAGGGGUGAAAUCCCGGGGCUCAACCCCGGAACUGCCUUUGAUACUGGGUGUCUUGAGUGUGGUAGAGGUGAGUGGAAUUGCGAGUGUAGAGGUGAAAUUCGUAGAUAUUCGCAGGAACACCAGUGGCGAAGGCGGCUC
rnacentral:rRNA from 1 species